GUAGUUGAGCACACAGACAUGUCUGGGCAGAGUCCGUGCAAGGUGACUCAAGAGCAACAUGAGGCCUAUGACGCAUGCCCAGGACCUUAAAAAACAAGCCUGCAAACUGGACAUCGUCCACCCUACACCGAGCCCAGGUUUA